AUGUUUACAGCUCAGCCGGAUUCUAGGCCGGAAGUGGUCACGGAAUGGAUUCUUCCAAAAGUAACAACAGAUAUGAAUGAGAGAUUAUGUGCCCCGGUCACAGAUGAUGAGAUUGAGCAAGCUCUCUUCAGUAUGCAUCCGAACAAAUCACUUGGGGCGGACGGAUUUACUGCAGGUUUUUAUAUCCGUCAUUGGAAUAUUUUGAAACAAGCUAUAUGCAGAGCUGUUCGGGAUUUUUUGGAGGGAGGAGUUAUGCCUGAUGUGGUUAACAGUACCGUACUUGUCCUUAUUCCAAAAGUCAAGUCACCCCAGGAGCUUAGUCAGUAUAGACCGAUUUCGCUAUGCAAUGUUUUAUACAAAAUUGCAUCCAAAGUCUUGGCACUUAGACUCAGGCCUAUUCUAGAUGAGAUUAUUGCUGAAGAACAGAGUGCCUUUGUGCCG
rnacentral:rRNA from 1 species